rnacentral:rRNA from 1 species
CUUUACUGUAGCCUGGAAUUGGGUCCGGGCUUCGCUUGCGCAGGAUAGGUGGGAGGCACUGAAACACUCCUUGUGGGGAGUGUGGAGCCAACGGUGAGAUACCACUCUAGCGAGGCUAGAAUUCUAACCCUUGCCCGUCAGCCGGGAAGGAGACAGUUUCAGGUGGGCAGUUUGACUGGGGCGGUCGCCUCCUAAAAGGUAACGGAGGCGCGCAAAGGUUCCCUCCGGCUGGUUGGAAAUCAGCCCGUGAAGUGCAAAGGCAUAAGGGAGCUUGACUGCAAGAGCCACACCUCGAGCAGGGACGAAAGUCGGCCUUAGUGAUCCGACGGCGCUGAGUGGAAGGGCCGUCGCUCAACGGAUAAAAGUUA